AUAGCGUAUAUUAAAGUUGUUGCAGUUAAAAAGCUCGUAGUUGAACUUCAGACCUGGCCGGACGGUCUGCCUAACGGUAUGUACUGUCUGGCUGGGCCUUACCUCUUGGUGAGCCGGCAUGCCCUUCACUGGGUGUGUCGGGGAACCAGGACUUUUACCUUGAGAAAAUUAGAGUGUUCAAAGCAGGCUUAUGCUCGAAUACAUUAGCAUGGAAUAAUAAAAUAGGACGUGUGGUUCUAUUUUGUUGGUUUCUAGAGCCACAGUAAUGAUUAAUAGGGAUAGUUGGGGGCAUUAGUAUUGCGUUGCUAGAGGUGAAAUUCUUGGAUUUACGCAAGACUAACUUCUG
rnacentral:rRNA from 1 species